UGGCCACUAAAGUUACAGGAACUCCUUAAUUGCCACCUUAUCAGUCCAUCAACCGAAUUCCAGGAUGAUUGACACAGAAAUCAGGGUGGGGGAGCCGGGAACCAAAUUUAAGAUCAGCUGCAGCAACAACAGCAGUAGCCAGGCUGGCAGGAGAGACCAACAGAGUUUUGUCUGGCGCUUAGUUGACUGGAAUCCAAAGAAGAUAGAAAGUAGGAUUGUGGCCAGGCGCUAAGGAUCUGGAACGAAUGGGAGAGAAGUAAUUUCUCUACAAGGAAUACUGACUCUCAGUUAAGAUUUAUAACCGUCAUGGCUUUGCCAUCCACUUUGCCUUACGACCGUGUAAUGGUGAACAUGGAAAGGGAAGAGGUUUCUCUGGAGCGCACCAAAUCCCAGCUGGAUCCCCGUCUCAUAAGCACUACCACUGGCAGCAUAGAAAACUCCUGCCACAACUGCCUGCUCCCUUUUGGGGUGCUGGCCAGCAUCAUUGGCCUAGUAACUACAAGUGUUGCUUGUGCCGGUCAUUUCUCUGACACCAUCCUGACUGUCAUAGGUGGAGUCAUGCUGGCUACCGGGCUUCUCGGAGUGACCGUCAGUUGCAUCUGGCACCAAUACAGGAGAAGGAAGCGCUGCGGCAGCUGGACCAUCCUAACAAGUGAAACGGAAGCAAAGAAACCAGUUAUCUGAAGAUCCGGAACCAAAUCCAGAACCAGAACCAGGAGAGUUAACCUAGGACAAAAUCUCAUUUGGCCUCAUUGGGCAAAGCUCAUUUUGAACUAAUUGAUUACUUUCAGAAUUUGUUCCCACCUUUCUAAUUUUCUCUUAGAUUAAACAAAAGCAACAAUAAAAUCAGGGGGAGAAAAGAAGAAGGAAUCAAAAGGCAGACAAGAAAAAAAACGGAAGUAUAAAUACAUUCAAAUGAAUGUAUUGAAAAUUAACAUAAAAGCAUUCUACUUUCACAUGCCCACAGACUGAGCGGAUAGGAGGCCCUUCUACCUGGGAACAUACUCUAUAAAAACAACUUUUUUUAGCACAAAAUGAAACACAGGUGGUCCUUGUUUAGCAUCUGCCUUGUUUAGGAACUGUUUGCAGUUACGAUGGUGAUGAGAAAGUAAUUUUGCUAUCCUCUCAUUUACAGACCUCUUUUGCAAGUCUAUACAGCAAAGAAAAGUAGAAGAUCAUCAGCACAGUCACAGCUUCAUUUAGCAACCAUUUUGCUAAACACCCAGUUGUGGUUGCUAAACGAGGACUACCUAUAAAUUUGAGGCAAAAUGAAAGGAUUCUAGAAGAAAAGCAAUGUUCUGUGAAAUCAGUGGUUGCACCAUUAAAGCUUAUGGAAAUGCAGUGGUCUCAGGUAACCCAUUCUCAGCUUCAGAAGAGGAAGUCAUCAAACAAACUUUACAGGAUUGUUGUGAAGACCAUUGCAGUGUGAAAAACUUAAAAACACUGUGUGAGGUACACAAGAAAUGUACAUAUUGUAUUUUUCCAUUUCUGUUAAAAGAAUAGGCAUAUAGAGGCACUUAGCUAAGAUACAUUUUGGAAAGGAGAUAUAAUAAGCUGAAGGAAUAGAGAGAAAUUAUAUAUAUACUGAUUUAAAGGAUACUUUUAGAAUAGUGCACACUAUUGUAGAUGCACACUAUUGUAGAAUAACAUAUAGCUUAUGAAUAACAUUAUUUAUUUUAUAUGGCUUAUUCUUUAUAAAAACUGCUUAGAGUUAGUAUUUUAAAGUAUAACUAUGAACCAAAGUGCAGCCUUGUUUAACUGAAGCAUGAACACACAUAGGUUCUAGAUGCAAAGCAGGUAUUCUUAUAGAAAAACAAGGGAAAUCUUUUAUAAUUGCAAUUAUCCAGUUUGGGUAACAGUUCACCUUGUAGAUAAGGAGGCUAUACCUGAGUUAGCAAGAUGUUACAAAUCACAUCACAGAAAAGGGAGUGAAGAUAAGACAGGAACAAAAGGGGCAUUUGAUCUAAUAAUUGGAGGGUCCGGUAAUAGUUGCUAGGCGGUCGGAAAGCAUGUGACCUGGGUGGGCCUAUCAACUGGGCUCACUUUGGAAGGAUGUGGCAUGAUGUACGGGACAGGGUAUAAUAACCUAUGCAAAAAUUGAUUCAAGUGUGGACUCUGGGAUUUGCCAUUGCCAAGAGUUCCACCACUUUUGCAAAAGCUUUAAUAAAACUUGUUUUGUUUUCCAACACCCUUGGAGUCGAAUUUUUAUUCCUCAUAAUUGCAUUAAGAUGAAAAUCUCCCACAGACCAAAGCUCAGUUCCUGGUGGAU